GAUGAACGCUGGCGGCGUGCCUAAUACAUGCAAGUCGAGCGAACAGACGAGGAGCUUGCUCCUCUGACGUUAGCGGCGGACGGGUGAGUAACACGUGGAUAACCUACCUAUAAGACUGGGAUAACUUCGGGAAACCGGAGCUAAUACCGGAUAAUAUAUUGAACCGCAUGGUUCAAUAGUGAAAGACGGUUUUGCUGUCACUUAUAGAUGGAUCCGCGCCGCAUUAGCUAGUUGGUAAGGUAACGGCUUACCAAGGCGACGAUGCGUAGCCGACCUGAGAGGGUGAUCGGCCACACUGGAACUGAGACACGGUCCAGACUCCUACGGGAGGCAGCAGUAGGGAAUCUUCCGCAAUGGGCGAAAGCCUGACGGAGCAACGCCGCGUGAGUCAUGAAGGUCUUCGGAUCGUAAAACUCUGUUAUUAGGGAAGAACAAAUGUGUAAGUAACUAUGCACGUCUUGACGGUACCUAAUCAGAAAGCCACGGCUAACUACGUG
rnacentral:rRNA from 1 species